UACAGAGGGGGCAAGCGUUGUUCGGAAUCACUGGGCGUAAAGGGCGCGUAGGCGGCCGAUCAAGUCGGGGGUGAAAGCCUGUGGCUCAACCACAGAAUUGCCUUCGAUACUGUUUGGCUUGAGACCGGAAGAGGUAAGUGGAACUGCGAGUGUAGAGGUGAAAUUCGUAGAUAUUCGCAAGAACACCAGUGGCGAAGGCGGCUCACUGGCCCGAUACUGACGCUGAGGCACGAAAGCGUGGGGAGCAAACAGG
rnacentral:rRNA from 1 species